CGCUUGUUUAUGUAUUUUUGCCUGCGAUUUUAACUCUUGUUCAGCUGUUACCCUUUUAUUUUACAAUCAAUACCACUUUACACCACCAUUCACCCUUAAAAAUUGCUAAACCUAUACUUCCAAAAAAUUUUUAAACGUUUUAUUUUGUUUAAACCUACAACUUUGCAUGUCAUUUGCUAAAAUAUACAUAUCCUGCAUAUUUCUAGUGUCAAUUAAAGCUUCUUUUAAUUUUUUUUGAAAUAUACUCUUACGUAACAUACAUAACAUCGAUAAAACACAAGGCACUAGUAGGUAUGCGGCUUUUUAGUCAAACUUAAAACUAUGGCUCUAAAAUAGAGAAAAAUUAGAGUAAAUCGAAUGUUGGUUACGUAACUUUACUAGUGCUAACAGUCAAUUUCCCUCACUUUAAACGGAAACAGCUGAAUUAUAAUAGAUAUUUAGGAACAGUAAUUGGUGACUCAAACACAGAAUUGUUCAAUUGCUUAAAUACAUCAAUUAAACUUUGUUAACUUGUUGUUGAAGACAAAUACGUUAACUUAUAUACAGAGUGUGUUCUUCUUGUACAUAAUAGCUUGAAUCAUUCUUUUAAAACAAACAAAAGUCAAAUCGACAAAUUAUUGGUGGUUCUGCAAAAUCAUGUUAACUGUUAUAUUGUUAAAUAGACCACAAUAGUACA
rnacentral:lncRNA from 1 species